rnacentral:rRNA from 1 species
UGGGGAAUUUUGGACAAUGGGCGAAAGCCUGAUCCAGCAAUGCCGCGUGUGUGAAGAAGGCCUUCGGGCUGUAAAGCACUUUUGUCCGGAAAGAAAUCCUUGGCUCUAAUACAGUCGGGGGAUGACGGUACCGGAAGAAUAAGCACCGGCUAACUACGUGCCAGCAGCCGCGGUAAUACGUAGGGUGCAAGCGUUAAUCGGAAUUACUGGGCGUAAAGCGUGCGCAGGCGGUUUGCUAAGACCGAUGUGAAAUCCCCGGGCUCAACCUGGGAACUGCAUUGGUGACUGGCAGGCUAGAGUAUGGCAGAGGGGGUAGGAUUCCACGUGUAGCAGUGAAAUGCGUAGAGAUGUGGAGGAAUACCGAUGGCGAAGGCAGCCCCCUGGGCCAAAUACUGACGCUCAUGCACGAAAGCGUGGGGAGCAGACAGGAUUAGAUACCCUGGUAGUCCACGCCCUAAAACGAUGUCAACUAGUUGUUGGGGA